GUCCCAGUUCGGAUUGCAGGCUGCAACCCGCCUGCAUGAAGUUGGAAUCGCUAGUAAUCGCGGAUCAGCAUGCCGCGGUGAAUACGUUCCCGGGCCUUGUACACACCGCCCGUCACACCAUGGGAGUCGGUAACACCCGAAGUCGGUAGCCUAACCGUAAGGAGGGCGCCGCCGAAGGUGGGAUUGAUGACUGGGGUGAAGUCGUAACAAGGUAGC
rnacentral:rRNA from 1 species